rnacentral:tRNA from 1 species
GCCCAGGUGGCGGAAUUGGUAGACGCGCUGGUUUCAGGUACCAGUGGAGCGAUCCUUGGAGGUUCGAGUCCUCUCCUGGGCACCA